GGGAGAAAACCCGCACCAGCAGCAAAGCAGAAGUUGCAGGGAAGUUGCCUCUUUGGCCAGCGCCUUGCAGAUUCCCCACCUCAGGGAAGGGAAGGCCUGCUGGUUCACCAAGGGGACUGGAACUUAAUCUUCCUUCAAUCUCACUCUCUGAAGAGAAAACAGGAUAAACAGAGGGAAACCAAAGAGACUGAGUCCUAAUAGGAUUUUGUGCUUUGUUUAAGCUUUGCCCGUAUAUAUGGCCUGGGACUAAAAUAAAUGGAUGGCGAGGCCAGAAAUGCAA